rnacentral:lncRNA from 1 species
CCACAGUGAACAUGAUGGCUUUAAAAUCAAGUAAAAUAUGACUGCCCCAGUUAUGAGCAACAUCUUCAACAAUCAAGCUGAAUCCUUCAAAAAUCGUCACCUGUUUCCAAAACACUGGAGCCAAUGCAAGAGGUCAGAUACCUGUGCAGGAGUGUCACUCCAAGUCUGAACAUGAAUGCCAUGGAUUCCAGGAUCAUUCCAGUGCCUGCCCUGAUGACUUUGCUCACACCUGGAUCUGCAAAGGGCCAUAGACCUGUGGCACCUCCAUUCCCAAUGGAAAAAGGAAGGUGACUGAGAUGUUGGUGAACUGGGCCUUUGGAGGAGGACUGAAACAGUGAAAGUUCCACUACCCCCAGCUAAGUCAUUCCAGAUGGACAGUGGGGAGGAACUGUAUAGAUGUUACAGGCAUUUUCACUGCAAAUUCUCCUGGAUGCAUCUAACCUGUUAUCGAGCACCUCCCUGUCAGAUAUUCUCAACUAAGUCUUGAUCUCCUCUUUUACUAAAGCAUGUAUAAAAUACCCUCAUCUAUUAGCUUCCUAUCUG